UCUCCGUUGGUGAACCUGCGGAGGGAUCAUUAUAGAGUUUUCUAAACUCCCAACCCUUUGUGAACUUACCUUUGUUGCCUCGGCGGGGCCUACCCGGUACCGACCCCUUUUGGGCGAAGUUACCCUGUAGCGCCCCGCCGGUGGAUUUUCAAACUCUUGUUAUUUUUAGUAAUCUGAGCGUCUUAUUUUAAAUAAGUCAAAACUUUCAACAACGGAUCUCUUGGUUCUGGCAUCGAUGAAGACGCAGC
rnacentral:misc_RNA from 1 species